UGCCUUACAGGAGUCAUGAUGUUUCUCUUCCCUGUACUUAUUGCAGUUGUACUUGCAUCUUCCGGAUCUGCUGUUGAGUUAAACCAGAAGAUUUUGUCAAUAGUCAAAAGUGAACAAAAAAGUGCAACAUUUAAUUGCGAAGCUACUGGCUUAACCAACUCUUAUAUUCAUUGGUAUCGACAGAAGGCAGAUGGCAAGUUUGAACGCAUUUUAUAUUAUAAUAAAGAUUCAUCAACUACUACUAGGGACCCAGGAUUUACUGACAAGUAUAUAGCUGAAAAGUCUAAUGAUAAUGAGGCCUUUACUCUACGUGUACAUAAGAUAGUAGGUGACGAUGAAGGCACAUAUUACUGUGCACACUGGGAUACCACAGUGGUAAAGAAACAUGGUCUGUCUGCACAAAAUCUGCCAUACUAAUGCUAAUGCUAAGCUGCAGUCUGCAUAACCACAAAAACCUCAUUCGGGGAGGAAGUACAUUGCUCUAAUAAAAUCCUAACAUUUCUCUUUUGCAAUUAAAUCAAUUUAUUAUUGCUCUCU